AGGCCCCUGGCUUGAAGCGUUGGGUGCUCAUGAGUUUCACAGCCACGGCAAAGGCAGGCUUUUAAAGAGAAGACACCCAGAGUAACUUUGAAAUAAAAGCUAGGGUUGGGCAGCCCCUUGGGGGUCCCAGGCUGUGUGCUCCUUUUAAUGUGUGCGGAUGCAGGGGCCCUGGGGCCCCUCCCUUGCGUGUGGCCUGGUCGAUUAAGCCCCAGGAAGUGCUCACGGUCUUUCCCAGCAGCCUUCCAGCUCCAUAAAACCGCUGUUAUGAUGAACUUGAUCAUGAGUCAACCAAGGGCCUCCAUCUCUCCUGCACUCCCUCCGUUUGGCCCCUUGGAGCAGGUGUUUGCUGAGCCUGAGGUCUUUCUGCUUACAUAACCUUUGUUCCAUUUGGAUGGAUGAAAAAUCUCCCUGAGGUUUAUUGUAAACAGUCUUAGGUUCGCCCAAACACAGAAGACGAAAGGUCACCAGAUUAUUCAUGCACGUCUCUCCUCCCCACUUAGCCCUCCCCACCCCCACCGGCUGCUGCCACGUCCCCCACGAGGUCCCAUGCCCAACCUCUCCACCAGGCCAUCAGUGUGCAGGGCCUGGUGAUGGGGGUUCAGGGCCAACUUGGCAGCCAUGAUGCUGUUCCAUGCCCUGCUCAGCAGCCAUUUUGGCUGGAUCUCCGUGAGGAAGGGCUGGGGGUGGGGAGCAGAGGAAGUUUCUUGACCAGCUGCCAUGGAUAGAAGCUUGCUCACGGAAAGACUGUCUUUUAUGAUGCCAGAAACAGGGCUGAGAACUCACGGUGAGGGGCCAGCAAGUUUCAAGGAAAGGAGGGAGGGAGGGCCUGCCUGCCCAACAGGCAGCUGCCGUCCGCAUAACACUGUCCAUGCUUACCUCCAGAAUGUGGUGCAUGCAGGGCAUUUUACCCACAUUUGAUAUCGUGUUCGCGGGCCCAUUUUACAGAUGAGAAGCUGAGGCUGGGGCUCAGCGAGGAAGACUAGUCUUUACUCCACUGGGUGUCAGCUGAGGCGGCUUUAAUGGAGGCUGGAGGACCCACCUCCAAGAUGGCUCAGUACAUGCUGGUGGGUUAGGGCCGGCUGUCAGCCAGGAGCUGAGCCCAGGUGGAAGCUGGAAGCCUGGGUUAUAUUCUCAAAAGAGCUUUCUGUGGCUCCCCAUUUAGAAAUGUAUAAGGGAGGGCUUUGUUUGUUACAGUGACUGGGGGCCCCAGUGAGUUACCUACACACCUAUAUGCAGGACUCCCUGGGCCAAGAUGCCAUUAAGAAAGACUGCUGGAAGGCCAAGGCCCCCAGGACGACGAGACUGCCCUCCGAGCGGCCUGAGCCCAGAGACAGCAGCCUCCAUCGGACCCAAGGCCUCCGACCGCCCUGACGAACCUCAGCGGCAGCGCAGACGUCAGAGAGGUUUCUUUCGCAGGCAGCGAGGGGAAACUUGCAACGCAGAGAUACCAAGCCGCUUGACCUCCACUGUAACGGCCUCAAGUCUCCCCAUCGUCUGGGGGCUCUGCUGCUAAUUGGGUCGUAAAAGAUGAUCCUACUGCAUAGCUGUCUGCAAAGCGGGGCCCCCGUGACACAGGAUCAAUGAAAUGCAUAGCUGUCUGCAAAGCGGGGCCCCCGUGACACAGGAUCAAUGAAAUGCAGACCACAGGGUGGGCUUACCUGCUGACACUCUGGGCAGAGCCAGGACUGCAGAAGUCAGAGGGUGACUGGAUGCUCAGGAUGGGAGAGGCAAAGACUGGGGGAUGAAUCAUCCCUCCCUGGAGGCCUCCUCAUGCCUCUGACCCCCCAGGCUUCUGUUAAAGCGGCCAAAGCCCUCCUCACGCACUCCAGUCAGAACAUGGCCCCCUGGGGCUGCUUCGCAAAGGCCCACAGUCCCGCGAGACCCCGUCCAGAAAGAAGCCCCACGUCUGAGUGGCUCCACCUGGCAGUUCAUUCAUUCAUUCACUCAUUCGAGCAUCACUCGUUUACCGAGUACCUCUGACAAUUCUGGCACUGAGCUGCACCCUAGGAGUGCAUGAAUGGUGUGGCCAGGACCGUGGCUUUCCGUCUUGUCUGCUGUCACCUCCACAUUAAUAAAGCCCCGUGUUUAGUCGGGGGUGUGGCCACCCAGGCAUGAAACUGCACUUCCUGCCUCCCUUGCAGCUAGCUGUGGCCAUGUGAUUGCACCCUGGUUAACAAAACUAUGCAGGGUGUGGGGGGCCCUUCCUUCAAAAACAAACAAAAGAAACACAGUGGGCCCAAGCCCCUGGGUCCUUUCCUCUCAGUGGUCCUCUCUCCUGCUGGCUGGAAUGCAGAUGGGAGGGCUGAAGCUGAAGUGGCCAGUCUUGAGAAGGUGCCUGGGGACAGAGGACCCACAUGGUAGAGCAACAGACAAAGAAGCCACUUCUCUGGACGGCUGGAGGGAAACGCAUCUCUCCACCCUGGCCUGCCUUCCUCUAGACUUUAGUGUGAAAGAGAAAAACACAAAAUCUACCUUCUUUAAGCUACUGUGACUUAGGGUUUUCCAGCUGAGGAUAAUUGAAACCUACACAGCAGGUCAUGGUGCCACAUCCUGGUGCAGGGCUGUUGGCAGCACAGAAAGCCCACUGGCCUGGUCUCAGGGGAUUGGAGAGGCGUCCCGAGGGGUCUGUGUCUUGGCUGUGCCCUGUCAGGUGUGUUGGCCAAGGGAAGACGGGUAGGGAGGCAUUUCAGGGCUGGAGGUGGGAAGAAGUUCAGUGUGUUUGGAGAAGCUCUGGACUCUUCAGGGUGGUGGGGACCCCUGCUUUGCAUCUAUAAAAUACACCAGGCCUUAAAAUAUGUGACCUGUGAUUCAAAGGGAGAGGCUACUGGCUGGAGUGCAGUGGCGCCAUCUCUGCUCACUGCAACCUCUGCCUCCCAGGUUCAAGUGAUUCUCCUGCCUCAGCCUGCCCAGUAGCUGGGAUUGCAGGCACCUGCCACCACACCUGGCUAAUUUUUGUAUUUUUAGUAGAAAUGGGGUUUCACCAUGUUGGCCAGGCUGGUCUCGAACCCCCGACCUCAAGUAUCCACCAGCCUCGGCCUCCCAAAGUGCUGGGAUUAUAGACGUGAGCCACCAUGCCUGGCCUAGACUUCUGACUUUAAAGACUAGUAAAAACCUGAUUCUAUGCUCUUUGAAAAUCUGCACCUGCAGAAAUUCAUCACUGUCAUUUUGGCCUCGGAGAGACGCUUCUCAGCUGGGUUCAGGGCUGGAUGACUUGUCCUGUCUUCCUGCCCCGGUGGUUGACAUCCUCAGCCAGAUGUUAAGCCCCCUCCUCUCCUUAGGUUCAGACUCUCCCCUUUCAAAAUGCCAGCAAGUCCCAAAAGAACAGAUGAAGGCGAGGGGCCAGGACAAGACCAUCCCAUGGCGGGCUGGGUGUUGGGCUGGAUGGCUGCCCCCAUCCAGUGACAUAGGGCAAGGAAGUCCUGGCCAGAUGCCAAAGGAGCACCAGCAACUCCAAAUUCUUAUCCUGUGCGUGGCUCUGGGGAAUCAUUUUAUCAGAUCAGCCUUCAUACAAAUAAAUGAAUCCAUUGCCUCAGAGGGUCCCAUUGUUGUCAAACGGAAUCAGCAUGCCUCUGUUUUUAUUUCUGUGUAAAUAACAUCUGCUUCCAGAAUUACUAGAAUUUGUAGUAAUAAGUGCACACAUAAAGAGCUUAAAUUUCUACA
rnacentral:lncRNA from 1 species